rnacentral:rRNA from 1 species
GCCCUGGCGGCAGCUACACAUGCAGUCGAGCGGUAGCACAGAGAGCUUGCUCUCGGGUGACGAGCGGCGGACGGGUGAGUAAUGUCUGGGAAACUGCCUGAUGGAGGGGGAUAACUACUGGAAACGGUAGCUAAUACCGCAUAACGUCGCAAGACCAAAGUGGGGGACCUUCGGGCCUCAUGCCAUCAGAUGUGCCCAGAUGGGAUUAGCUGGUAGGUGGGGUAACGGCUCACCUAGGCGACGAUCCCUAGCUGGUCUGAGAGGAUGACCAGCCACACUGGAACUGAGACACGGUCCAGACUCCUACGGGAGGCAGCAGUGGGGAAUAUUGCACAAUGGGCGCAAGCCUGAUGCAGCCAUGCCGCGUGUGUGAAGAAGGCCUUCGGGUUGUAAAGCACUUUCAGCGGGGAGGAAGGCGGUGAGGUUAAUAACCUCAUCGAUUGACGUUACCCGCAGAAGAAGCACCGGCUAACUCCGUGCCAGCAGCCGCGGUAAUACGGAGGGUGCAAGCGUUAAUCGGAAUUACUGGGCGUAAAGCGCACGCAGGCGGUCUGUCAAGUCGGAUGUGAAAUCCCCGGGCUCAACCUGGGAACUGCAUUCGAAACUGGCAGGCUAGAGUCUUGUAGAGGGGGGUAGAAUUCCAGGUGUAGCGGUGAAAUGCGUAGAGAUCUGGAGGAAUACCGGUGGCGAAGGCGGCCCCCUGGACAAAGACUGACGCUCAGGUGCGAAAGCGUGGGGAGCAAACAGGAUUAGAUACCCUGGUAGUCCACGCUGUAAACGAUGUCGAUUUGGAGGUUGUGCCCUUGAGGCGUGGCUUCCGGAGCUAACGCGUUAAAUCGACCGCCUGGGGAGUACGGCCGCAAGGUUAAAACUCAAAUGAAUUGACGGGGGCCCGCACAAGCGGUGGAGCAUGUGGUUUAAUUCGAUGCAACGCGAAGAACCUUACCUGGUCUUGACAUCCACAGAACUUUCCAGAGAUGGAUUGGUGCCUUCGGGAACUGUGAGACAGGUGCUGCAUGGCUGUCGUCAGCUCGUGUUGUGAAAUGUUGGGUUAAGUCCCGCAACGAGCGCAACCCUUAUCCUUUGUUGCCAGCGGUUAGGCCGGGAACUCAAAGGAGACUGCCAGUGAUAAACUGGAGGAAGGUGGGGAUGACGUCAAGUCAUCAUGGCCCUUACGACCAGGGCUACACACGUGCUACAAUGGCAUAUACAAAGAGAAGCGACCUCGCGAGAGCAAGCGGACCUCAUAAAGUAUGUCGUAGUCCGGAUUGGAGUCUGCAACUCGACUCCAUGAAGUCGGAAUCGCUAGUAAUCGUAGAUCAGAAUGCUACGGUGAAUACGUUCCCGGGCCUUGUACACACCGCCCGUCACACCAUGGGAGUGGGUUGCAAAAGAAGUAGGUAGCUUAACCUUCGGGAGGGCGCUACCACUUUGAUUCCGU